rnacentral:lncRNA from 1 species
AUUUAAUUGUCUGGAGAUUUGGGUUGCCUAUGGAUUGGAUUUAUAUUUUCUUAACUUGGGUUUAGUGUUUACUGUUAAGUGUUCUAUUACCAUUCCUAUUAGCUUUGUAUUUCAUGUUGCUCAAUCUUGGCUCUAGUAUGCACAUAGUAUCAUUUUAAAUAGUACAUUGUAUAUAGUAUAGAAGUCUUCGCUAUUCAUCUGCAGUUAGAAG